UACAUGCAGUCGAACGGGAUAGAACUUAGCAAUAGGUUCUUGAGAGUGGCGCAUGGGUGCGUAACACGUAUGCAACCUACCUUUAACUGGGGGAUAGCCUCUCGAAAGAGAGAUUAAUACCCCAUAGUAUAACUGAAGAGCAUUUUUUGGUUAUUAAAGAUUUAUCGGUUAAAGAUGGGCAUGCGGCUGAUUAGGUAGUUGGUGAGGUAAUGGCUCACCAAGCCAACGAUCAGUAGGGGGUCUGAGAGGAUGUCCCCCCACACUGGUACUGAGACACGGACCAGACUCCUACGGGAGGCAGCAGUAGGGAAUAUUGGACAAUGGGGGCAACCCUGAUCCAGCCAUUCCGCGUGCAGGAAUAAGGCCCUAUGGGUCGUAAACUGCUUUUGUAUGGGAAAAAAUCAUCUUACGUGUAGGGUGUUGAUGGUACCAUGAGAAUAAGGAUCGGCUAACUUCGUGCCAGCAGCCGCGGUAAUACGAAGGAUCCAAGCGUUGUCCGGAUUUACUGGGUUUAAAGGGUGCGUAGGCGGGGAAUUAAGUCAGUGGUGAAAGCUGGUAGCUCAACUAUCAAAUUGCCAUUGAAACUGAUUCUCUCGAGUACGGUUGAGGUAGCUGGAAUGUAACAUGUAGCGGUGAAAUGCUUAGAUAUGUUACAGAACACCGAUUGCGAAGGCAGGCUACUAAACCGUAACUGACGCUGAGGCACGAAAGCGUGGGGAUCAAACAGGAUUAGAUACCCUGGUAGUCCACGCUGUAAACGUUGCAUACUCGGUCUUAGCGAUAUACAGUUAGGACCUAAGCGAAAGCAUUAAGUAUGCCACCUGGGGAGUACGGUCGCAAGAUUGAAACUCAAAGGAAUUGACGGGGGCCCGCACAAGCGGAGGAGCAUGUGGGUUAAU
rnacentral:rRNA from 1 species